rnacentral:rRNA from 1 species
GACGAACGCUGGCGGCGUGCUUAACACAUGCAAGUCGAACGGAAAGGCCUCUUUCGGGGGGUACUCGAGUGGCGAACGGGUGAGUAACACGUGAGUAACCUGCCCUUGACUUUGGGAUAACUUCAGGAAACUGGGGCUAAUACCGGAUAGGAGCUCCUGCUGCAUGGUGGGGGUUGGAAAGUUUCGGCGGUUGGGGAUGGACUCGCGGCUUAUCAGCUUGUUGGUGGGUAGUGGCUUACCAAGGCUUUGACGGGUAGCCGGCCUGAGAGGGUGACCGGCCACAUUGGGACUGAGAUACGGCCCAGACUCCUACGGGAGGCAGCAGUGGGGAAUAUUGCACAAUGGGUGGAAGCCUGAUGCAGCAACGCCGUGUGCGGGAUGACGGCCUUCGGGUUGUAAACCGCUUUCGCUCAUGACGAAGCUUUGUGUGACGGGAGUGGGGAAAGAAGCACCGGCUAACUACGU